UGUUUACACCAUUUUGGAUUGAAAUAUCUGCAGCCCAAGGCGGUUGCAGGUUCCUGGGAGAGUUUUUCUCCAGACCGGAGAGUAACCGGGACAUUGGGGGCAAACUUGGAGCUAAUGAAGAGAGCAAGACUUAUUCUCUGAUUGUGUUGCCUUGGUGCCACGCCCCGGGUCAUCCCACCCUGAAGAAAAAGGGGAGAAGAGAGUUGUCUCUUUGUUCUGUUGUCAUUGAACACCUUUAUUGAACACAAACUUUGUGCUGAAAGAGACACCUGUUGCCUUCAGCCAAGAACAUCGCGGCAGCUGGAAGCCUCCGGAGGUCCUCUAGACGGGCCAGGCAGCCUGACAACUGCUGGGGCAGAGCCAGAGGGGCGGGUGUGUGUGUGUGUGUGGAGCCACACA